CCCUUAGAUGUUCUGGGCCGCACGCGCGCUACACUGAUACAUGCAACGAGUUUAUAACCUUGAUCUGACGGUCUGGGUAAUCUUCAAACCGUAUCGUGUUAGGGAUCGAUUCUUGCAAUUUUUAAUCGUAAACGAGGAAUUCCUAGUAAACGCAAGUCAUCAGCUUGCAUUGAUUACGUCCCUGCCCUUUGUACACACCGCCCGUCGACUCUACCGAUUGAAUGGUUCGGUGAAAACUUUGGACUGUGGCAUUGUCCUUCAUUGGACUUCGCCGUAGGAAAUUGUUUAAACCUCAUCAUUUAGAGGAAGAAUAAGUCGUAACA
rnacentral:rRNA from 1 species